GAUGAACGCUGGCGGCGUGCCUAAUACAUGCCAGUCGAGCGAACAGACGAGGAGCUUGCUCCUCUGACGUUAGCGGCGGAAGGGUGAGUAACACGUGGAUAACCUACCUAUAAGACUGGGAUAACUUCGGGAAACCGGAGCUAAUACCGGAUAAUAUAUUUAACCGCAUGGUUCAAUAUGGAAAGACGGUUUUGCUGUCACUUAUAGAUGGAUUCGGGCCGCAUUAGCUAGUUGGUAAGGUAACGGCUUACCAAGGCAACGAUGCGUAGCCGACCUGGAAGGGUGAUCGGCCAAACUGGAACUGAGACACGGUCCAGACUCCUACGGGAGGCAGAAGUAGGGAAUCUUCCGCAAUGGGCGAAAGCUUGACGGAGCAACGCCGCGUGAGUGAUGAAGGUCUUCGGAUCGUAAACCUCUGUUAUUAGGGAAGAACAAAUGUGUAAGUAACUAUGCACGUCUUGACGGUACCUAAUCAGAAAGCCACGGCUAACUACGUG
rnacentral:rRNA from 1 species